rnacentral:rRNA from 1 species
UACGGAGGGUGCGAGCGUUAAUCGGAAUUACUGGGCGUAAAGGGCGCGUAGGCGGUGGGUUACGUCUGCCGUGAAAUCCCCGGGCUCAACCUGGGAAUGGCGGUGGAAACGGGCUGACUGGAGUAUGGGAGAGGGUGAUGGAAUUCCAGGUGUAGCGGUGAAAUGCGUAGAGAUCUGGAGGAACACCAGUGGCGAAGGCGGUCACCUGGCCCAAUACUGACGCUGAGGCGCGACAGAGUGGGGAGCAAACCGG